rnacentral:rRNA from 1 species
UACGGAGGGGGCUAGCGUUGUCCGAAGUUACUGGGCGUAAAGCGCGCGUAGGCGGGUUGGUAAGUCCGCUGUGAAGGCCCGGAGCUCAACUCCGGAGGGUCGGUGGAUACUGCCAGUCUUGAAGGUGCUAGGGGGAGAUGGAGUUACCGGUGUAGCGGUGAAAUGCGUAGAUAUCGGUAGGAACACCAGUGGCGAAGGCGGUCUCCUGGGGCAUUCUUGACGCUGAGGCGCGAAAGCUGGGGGAGCAAACGGG